CCCAUCCAUUAAAGGCAAGAGAGUGAAAAGUGGGAGAGGAAGCUCCCAAUAUCAACAGCAGUGACCUGGGGUCACACAAGAAGGAGUUAUAAAGGAGUAAAAGCUUCUUUAUUCAGAUGGUUCCUUUCAGGGCAACUCAUUUCAUGAUACUUAAUGCAGCCGGCUUAAAGAACAGUUGGGUUAGAUAUAACUUACAGUACGUCACACAAAUCUGGAGUGCCCAUGGAACAUUAAUUUCAGGGCCGCGUUGGAUUAUGCUCUUACAACCAGUCUCUUUGCCAGGGGCAGCUUGUAACUCAGAAAGUCAUGUUUCAUUGAGGAUGUGCUGUAUAAUGUUGAAGGGGAAAGUUAACUAUUUUGUUUUGCUGUGUUUUUUUUUCCCAGUCCAAGUAGAAAGCAUUUGGGAACGAGCUUUGCAUGCUAAACUGAACCUUUCUUUUUUUUAUUUUCAUGUUUAUUUUUGAGAGAGAGAGUGGGGGGAGGGGCAGAGAGAGAGGGGACAGAGGCUCCAAAGCGGGCUCUGCACUGACAGAAGAUAGCCUGAUGCAGAGUUUGAACCCACACACCACAAGAUCAUAACCUGAGGCGAAGUCGAGACGAUUAACCAACUGAGCACCCUAAACUGAAAUUUUCUAUAAAGUUGUUCUCACUCAUUUUGGCACAAAUCUGCAUGGGCCAUUUCUCUUUAGCAUUUAAUCUUGUUCUUAGCACACAACCUCCCUGCUAAUCUGAGAUCCCCUCAAACAAGCUGACCAUACUGGGAUUUGCUUUUCCCCAUAUACAGUUAAGUGUCACUUUCUUCUGAAUCUAUGUUUUCCCCAUGUGUUUUCCACCAUAGCAUGCCAGAUACUAACUCGUCCCUACCCAAAGGGGCUGCUAAAAUUCCACCUCCUUCCAGGCGAUGGUGAGGUGGUUCCUUUUUUAGCCUUAACUACUCCCCAGUUCUGGUAACUAGUAACAAUUUAUUCAAUUUUAAAAAGAUUAAUUCUCCUAAGUAAUAUAAGCACUGAAUUUUAUUCA
rnacentral:lncRNA from 1 species